UACGUAGGGUGCAAGCGUUAUUCGGAUUUACUGGGCUUAAAGCGUGCGCAGGCGGCUUUGCAAGACAGAUGUGAAAUCCCCGGGCUUAACCUGGGAACUGCAUUUGUGACUGCAUGGCUGGAGUGCGGCAGAGGGGGAUGGAAUUCCGCGUGUAGCAGUGAAAUGCGUAGAUAUGCGGAGGAACACCGAUGGCGAAGGCAAUCCCCUGGGCCGAUACUGACGCUGAGGAGCGAAAGCGUGGGGAGCGAACAGG
rnacentral:rRNA from 1 species